rnacentral:lncRNA from 1 species
CGGGGUUUCACCAUGUUGGCCAGAUUGGUCUCAAACUCCUGACCUCAGGCAAUCUGCCCGCCUCGGCCUCCCAAAGUGCUAGGAUUACAGGCAUGAGCAUCCUCCAGACCUCAGAGUGGUAGAUCCACUGACAGCUUGCAUCAUGUGCCUGGAAAAGCAAAAGACACUCAAUGCCAGCCUGUGAAGGCAGCCAGGAGGGAGUCUUUACCCUGCAAAGCCACAGGGGUGGAGCAUCCCAAGACUAUGGGAAUCUACCUGUUGCAUCAGCGUGACCUGAAUGUGAGACAUGAAUAGCUUGUGUGUGUGUGUGUGUGUGUGUGUGUCUGUGUGUGUGUGUAUGGAUGUGUGCAUGUGUGUGCAAACACUUGAAGGAGGUAGAUCAGGAUAGAAUGUUUUAAUCUAUCUUUCUCUUUUUUGUUUGCAAACCCAAGAAUUUCUGUGGGUCACUCAGGGUUUGGAGCGCCCUGGGAGAAGAAAAAGGGUGAUUUUUCAGAAGGAAAAGAGUGUAAGAAAAACAUGAAAUUCAAUUUUCCAAUGACAUAACCAUCCUAAAUUUUAUUCUGUUAUGUAAAAAAGGCCAGAAGUCAGCAGUUCUGGGCUUGUAUGACAGUUCCAUGCAUUUUUAGAAAUCAUUUUCUUCUAGAUUAUUCCUCUGCCACCCCUACAUUUCUCUCCAGUCUCAAAACAGUGGGGUAUGUGCUUCUGCCAUGAAUUCUGUACUUCUCUUUUUGUAUUUUUAAUUUCCUUUUUUUCCCCAUGUCUUUCUGUUUUAAAACAUUCUCUUCUAUUUUUCCAAAAACAUCUUGAACUUCUCCCUCCCUACCAUCCCAAAUGUAUCUAUCCUACACAACCAAACAUCUAGAUAAAUUCUCCUAUACCCACUUCAUCCACUUCUUCACCUCCCACUUACUUGCCUGUCUACUCCUGUCUGCCUUUGUUCCAUUUGACUUCAAUACAUUUGCUUUUCCCUAUGGUGACUGCUGACCUUUGUGUCACUAAAUGCAAUGUACAAUUUUCAGCUCUUUUAUUGCUUGAUUCUUUAAUAAGGGUUGACUCUUAAUUCCUCGUCUUUUGUUUUUAAAUUUGGGGAACACUUUAAACUUUUUUAUUUCUUGGUGAGAGGGCAAUGGAUGGAUGAAAAGGAAUAUGUAGAGCAAUAAAAGUCUACCUCUGACUCCUGAUCUCUAUUUCCUUGGAUCUGCUUUUAAGAAGAAAACACUUUAAGCAGUCUCUCAUCAAUCUUCACAGAUGGAAAAAAAAUUACAUAUAUAUAUAUAUAUAUAUAUAUAUAUAUAUAUAUAUAUAUAUAUAUUCAUAUCCACUCAACAUCUCCAUUCAUUUUUACACAAAGCCCCAAUAUCUUGUUCUAUAACAAGUAACUUGUUCUCUAAUUGUAUAUGCAUAAAUACUUUGCAAAUUGUUUACUGUUAGAGAUGAAUCAUUUUAAUGGCAGCAAAACAGUCCAUUGUAUUCUGACACCACUAUUUAACUGAUCUACUGAGUGCUUUUCUCACAUUGUAAUUAUUAUUAGUCUCAAGAAGUAGCCCUGGAUAUUCUUAAGAUAUAAUAGAAAAUUGCUGUUAGACAUCAGUUUUUGAGUGCAGAUAGAACUACUGUAUGAUUCUGCUGGGCAUUUCCCUGGGGAGUUUUUUCAGGAUCAUUGCUUGGUCUAUAAAUAUAAAAUAAGAAAGACCAGGACGCAUUCAAUUUUUAGCUCUGAAACAGUAUGGGGCAGCUUUCCUCCUGGCAGCAUUUGACUUUUAGAGAUGACUUUGGCCAGCAUUUUCUCAAAUGCACCCUUCUGAAU